CAGUAGCCACGGGAAUACGUAGGGUGCGAGCGUUAAUCGGAAUUACUGGGCGUAAAGUGUGCGCAGGCGGUUGUGUAAGACAGGUGUGAAAUCCCCGGGCUUAACCUGGGAACUGCGCUUGUGACUGCACAGCUAGAGUACGGCAGAGGGGGGUGGAAUUCCACGUGUAGCAGUGAAAUGCGUAGAGAUGUGGAGGAACACCGAUGGCGAAGGCAGCCCCCUGGGCCAAUACUGACGCUCAUGCACGAAAGCGUGGGGAGCAAACAGGAUUAGAUACCCCCGUAGUCCCUGUCUCUUAUAA
rnacentral:rRNA from 1 species